rnacentral:rRNA from 1 species
UACGGAGGGUGCAAGCGUUAAUCGGAAUUACUGGGCGUAAAGCGCGCGUAGGUGGCUUGAUAAGCCGGUUGUGAAAGCCCCGGGCUCAACCUGGGAACGGCAUCCGGAACUGUCAGGCUAGAGUGCAGGAGAGGAAGGUAGAAUUCCCGGUGUAGCGGUGAAAUGCGUAGAUAUCGGGAGGAAGGCCGGUGGCGAAGGCGGCCUCCUGGGCCUGCACUGACGCUGAGGCGCGAAAGCGUGGGGAGCAAACAGG